UUUCACCUCAUGGAGACUUACAUAAGGCCCAAGAAACUGGAUCUCUGAGAGGAGAGGAAACUAGGACUUCAGGUUUAUCAAUUAGCCCUAAGGCCAAGAAAACAAAACACUGCUGGGUCUGCGGCUUGAAGCUUAAAAUCGAGUCGGCAUGCUGCUGGACUCCUUCCGACCGGCACCUCAGACCAGGUGAGUGGACACACGAUUCCAGGUGCUUCCAUGAACUACGCAUGGCAUUCUCCCUGUAAACAGGUGGAAGGACAGACCUUACCAGUUACAGAACCCACAUGCUCACCAGUUUUACUGACCCUGUGCGCAUCUGCAGACCCCCUCAGCAUGAGGGAGCUGGGCCUUUUUGGUCUUUGAAAAUGGACUAAAAGCUAU